rnacentral:rRNA from 1 species
GGUAACGGCUCACCAAGGCGACGACGGGUAGCUGGUCUGAGAGGAUGGUCAGCCGGACUGGGACUGAGACACGGACCAGACUCCUACGGGGGGCAGCAAUUAGGAAUCUUGCGCAAUGGGCGAAAGCCUGACGCAGCGACGUCGCGUGAACGAUGAAGUCUUUCGGGAUGUAAAGUUCUUUUCUGAGGGAAGAAGGAUGUGACGGUACCUCAGGAAUAAGCCCCGGCUAACUACGUGCCAGCAGCCGCGGAUAAUACGUAGGGGGCGAGCGUUGUCCGAAUUUACUGGGCGUAAAGAGCGCGUAGGAGGACUCUUAAGUUGGUGGUAGAAAAGACCGAGGAUCAACCUCGGAACUAGCUUCAAAACAGGGAGUCUAGAGGCUAGGAGAGGGAAGUGGAAUUCCUGGUGUAGCGGUGAAAUGCGUAGAUAUCAGGAGGUACACCGAUGGCGAAGGCAGCUUCCUGGCCAUGUCCUGACGCUGAGGUGCGAAAGCUAGGGUAGCGAACGGGAUUAGAUACCCCGGUAGUCCUAGCCGUAAACGAUGGAUACUAGGUGUUAGAGGUAUCGACCCCUCUAGUGCCGAAGCAAACGCAUUAAGUAUCCCGCCUGGGGAGUACGGCCGCAAGGUUGAAACUCAAAGGAAUUGACGGGGGCCCGCACAAGCGGUGGAGCAUGUGGUUUAAUACGUCACUAACCGUAGAACCUCACCCAGGCUUGACAUCUGCUGAAAGCGCCUGAAAGGGUGGCCCCGGUAUUUUUAUAUCGCAGCAAGACAGGUGUUGCAUGGCUGUCGUCAGCUCGUGUCGUGAGAUGUUGGGUUAAGUCCCGCAACGAGCGCAACCCUCAUCCGAUGUUGCCAGCGUAAAGUCGGGAGCUCUUCGGAAACUGCCCGUGCAAGCGGGAGGAAGGUGGGGAUGACGUCAAGUCAGCAUGGCCCUUACGCCUGGGGCUACACACAUGCUACAAUGGAUGUAAACAAUGGGCAGCAAGACCGCGAGGUGGAGCAAAUCUCAAAAAUACAUCCUCAGUUCGGAUUGCAGUCUGCAACUCGACUGCAUGAAGUCGGAAUCGCUAGUAACCGCAGGUCAGCUAAACUGCGGUGAAUACGUUCCCGGGCAUUGUACACACCGCCCGUCACGCCACAUGAGUUGUCUGCACCCGAAGUCGAUGGCCCAACAGCAAGGGGGGAGUCGCCGAAGUGUGGGAGCGAGGGGGACGAA